GACAUCUAGGACAUCUCUCUCUCUCUGACAUGUAGGACGUCUCUCUCUCUAUCUGACAUGUAGGACAUCUCUCUCUCUAUCUGACAUGUAGGACAUCUCUCUCUCUAUCUGACAUGUAGGACAUCUCUCUCUAUCUGACAUGUAGGACAUCUCUCUCUCUGACAUGUAGGACAUCUCUCUCUCUCUAUCUGACAUGUAGAACAUCUCUCUCUCUCUGACAUGUAGGACAUCUCUCUCUCUAUCUGACAUGUAGGACAUCUCUCUCUCUCUCUAUCUGACAUGUAGGACAUCUCUCUCUCUCUCUCUCUCUGACAUGUAGGACAUCUCUCUCUCUCUCUCUCUGACAUGUAGGACAUCUCUCUCUCUCUCUUUCUCUCCGACAUGUAGGACAUCUCUCUCUCUCUCUCUCUCUCUGACAUGUAGGACAUCUCUCUCUCUGACAUGUAGGACAUCUCUCUCUCUCUCUCUGACAUGUAGGACAUCUCUCUCUCUAUCUGACAUGUAGGACAUCUCUCUCUCUCUAUCUGACAUGUAGGACAUCUCUCUCUCUCUAUCUGACAUGUAGGACAUCUCUCUCUCUCUAUCUGACAUGACAUCUCUCUCUCUCUCUCUGACAUGUAGGACAUCUCUCUCUAUCUGACAUGUAGGACAUCUCUCUCUCUAUCUGACAUGUAGGACAUCUCUCUCUCUCUCUCUCUAUCUGACAUGUAGGACAUCUCUCUCUGACAUGUAGGACAUCUCUCUCUCUCAGACAUGUAGGACAUCUCUCUCUCUCUCUCUCUCUCUCUCUCUCUCUGACAUGUAGGACAUCUCUCUCUCUCUAUCUGACAUGUAGGACAUCUCUCUCUCUCUCUCUUUCUAUCUGACAUGUAGGACAUCUCUCUCUAUCUGACAUGACAUCUCUCUCUCUCUAUCUGACAUGUAGGACAUCUCUCUCUCUCUAUCUGACAUGUAGGACAUCUCUCUCUCUAUCUGACAUGUAGGACAUCUCUCUCUCUCUCUGUCUGACAUGUAGGACAUCUCAAUUCAAUUCAAUUCAAUUCAAGGGCUUUAUUGGCAUGGGAAACAGGUGUUAACAUUGCCAAAGCAAGUGAGGUAGACAACAUACAAAGUGAAUAUAUAAAGUGAAAAACAACAAAAAUUAACAUUAAACAUUACACAUACAGAAAUUUCAAAACAGU
ensembl:lncRNA